rnacentral:misc_RNA from 1 species
AAGGAGCACAGUACCGAUUGCAGGCAAAUGUUCUGCACGGUCAGCUCAUGGGUGGAACGUUGAUUAUUCNGCCAGGUUCUGGGUCGGAGGCAUUGCAAGUACUGUCCGCAAGGGCGUGGAAAGCAUGAUCUCCGGACAGUAUCCGGCCGGGCACGCUGUUGGGUGUCUGAGGGAAUGAACCCCCUCAUGAUGCCGACCCCGGUAAAAACCUGCGUGAGUGGGUUGUGACGGGUGGUUGGUCGUUG